rnacentral:rRNA from 1 species
CAUAGGUUAAUGAGGCGAACCGGGGGAACUGAAACAUCUAAGUACCCCGAGGAAAAGAAAUCAACCGAGAUUCCCCCAGUAGCGGCGAGCGAACGGGGAGGAGCCCAGAGCCUGAAUCAGUGUGUGUGUUAGUGGAAGCGUCUGGAAAGGCGCGCGAUACAGGGUGACAGCCCCGUACACAAAAAUGCACAUGCUGUGAGCUCGAUGAGUAGGGCGGGACACGUGGUAUCCUGUCUGAAUAUGGGGGGACCAUCCUCCAAGGCUAAAUACUCCUGACUGACCGAUAGUGAACCAGUACCGUGAGGGAAAGGCGAAAAGAACCCCGGCGAGGGGAGUGAAAAAGAACCUGAAACCGUGUACGUACAAGCAGUGGGAGCCUCUUAAUGGGGUGACUGCGUACCUUUUGUAUAAUGGGUCAGCGACUUAUAUUCUGUAGCAAGGUUAACCGAAUAGGGGAGCCGAAGGGAAACCGAGUCUUAACUGGGCGUUAAGUUGCAGGGUAUAGACCCGAAACCCGGUGAUCUAGCCAUGGGCAGGUUGAAGGUUGGGUAACACUAACUGGAGGACCGAACCGACUAAUGUUGAAAAAUUAGCGGAUGACUUGUGGCUGGGGGUGAAAGGCCAAUCAAACCGGGAGAUAGCUGGUUCUCCCCGAAAGCUAUUUAGGUAGCGCCUCGUGAAUUCAUCUCCGGGGGUAGAGCACUGUUUCGGCAAGGGGGUCAUCCCGACUUACCAACCCGAUGCAAACUGCGAAUACCGGAGAAUGUUAUCACGGGAGACACACGGCGGGUGCUAACGUCCGUCGUGAAGAGGGAAACAACCCAGACCGCCAGCUAAGGUCCCAAAGUCAUGGUUAAGUGGGAAACGAUGUGGGAAGGCCCAGACAGCCAGGAUGUUGGCUUAGAAGCAGCCAUCAUUUAAAGAAAGCGUAAUAGCUCACUGGUCGAGUCGGCCUGCGCGGAAGAUGUAACGGGGCUAAACCAUGCACCGAAGCUGCGGCAGCGACACUAUGUGUUGUUGGGUAGGGGAGCGUUCUGUAAGCCUGUGAAGGUGGCCUGUGAGGGUUGCUGGAGGUAUCAGAAGUGCGAAUGCUGACAUAAGUAACGAUAAAGCGGGUGAAAAGCCCGCUCGCCGGAAGACCAAGGGUUCCUGUCCAACGUUAAUCGGGGCAGGGUGAGUCGACCCCUAAGGCGAGGCCGAAAGGCGUAGUCGAUGGGAAACAGGUUAAUAUUCCUGUACUUGGUGUUACUGCGAAGGGGGGACGGAGAAGGCUAUGUUGGCCGGGCGACGGUUGUCCCGGUUUAAGCGUGUAGGCUGGUUUUCCAGGCAAAUCCGGAAAACCAAGGCUGAGGCGUGAUGACGAGGCACUACGGUGCUGAAGUGACAAAUGCCCUGCUUCCAGGAAAAGCCUCUAAGCAUCAGGUAACAUCAAAUCGUACCCCAAACCGACACAGGUGGUCAGGUAGAGAAUACCAAGGCGCUUGAGAGAACUCGGGUGAAGGAACUAGGCAAAAUGGUGCCGUAACUUCGGGAGAAGGCACGCUGAUAUGUAGGUGAAGCGACUUGCUCGUGGAGCUGAAAUCAGUCGAAGAUACCAGCUGGCUGCAACUGUUUAUUAAAAACACAGCACUGUGCAAACACGAAAGUGGACGUAUACGGUGUGACGCCUGCCC